UGUAUAUAUAAUUAUUUGGGAUGGUGGGUGUUGGAUGAACAAUCAGCAUCUGGUGAUUUGAGUUCCUGAAGAAAUCUGGUGAUGGUCUGGACAAAUGCUUCAUCCUCUUCUGGUAGUUUAUUUGAAGAGGCGGCUGCACUUGUAGAACUACUGCUGUUUCCCUUAGCAUUCUGAUUAUAGUUAACACAGAUUAACAAUAAUGAAGUAACUGUAACCGACAAAUAGAUAUAUAUAUAUGUAUAAUUUUAUAUUCAUCGGUAUAACAUAUAUUUCUUUUUAAUUAAACUUGAUGAUUUUGUAGUUUAGAUUGAUGUUUAUCUCAUUCACUAGAUAAAUUUUUUUUUUAACUUUUACUUUGACUAUAAGAACCUACAGAAAUUACCCUUCUUCUCUUUGUAAUUCUGCUUCGAGCAUUCAUCAUCUCCACGAGUUCAUCAAACUGUGAACUCAAAAGAUUAAAGAAAGAAACCCCAAUCAAGAAAACUCAUUAAUUCUUUUUUUUUUUCUCUUAUCUUAAUUUUGAUUUCUAUUGAAAAAUUAGCUGAAUACAGAUACUAAUUAACAAACACCUUGUUGGAUGAUAAUCACUACAUCAUUAGGGCUGAUUGUGAGCAUGCAUGUGCUUAACAAAUGAGCUUAAACAUGUGUAUUACUUAAUUUGUUAGGUGCAACAUAUUUACUCUAAAGAUUUAAAUGUAUACGAUACGGAACUAACUUGGUUAAAAAAAUAUUUCAAACUUCACGCAUGCUAAAAGGAAAUAAUAAACACAUGAAUCAAAUGAAGUGUUUAUUAAACUAGCUAGUCAAUUCUUCUUGAAUGCUUGUAGAAUUUAUUUGAAAAAUUUUGAAUAGAAAAAUUUCCUAGUUGAAGAUGAAUUCAUGAAAAUUAAGUAAUUGAAAUAAAAGAAGGCAUUGAAAUCGAAAAGAGAACCUGCUUAACAACGAUUUCAUAUUUCCUUACACACUGAUAAAGCCUUUUCUCAUCAUCUUCUUCUCUGGACAUUCUUCUUUAGUAUCUUUCUUCUC
rnacentral:lncRNA from 1 species